GGGAAUGGGUUAAAUGGGAUGAAUUUCCUCCAGCAGAUCAACUGUUCUGGGCCUUGCGCUGUUUAAGAGAGCAAGGUUACAAUCCUUUUACAGAAGAGCUCGAUCAUCUGAAGGGGUACACGGGAAGUCACCAACUGGGGUAAAAAUGAGUUGUACGUUACGUAACAAGCAACGGGACAGACCUGCUUUUGUUGGUGUGAAAGAGAAAAGGAUGUUCAUCCUGCUCGCUCUGCGCACGCGGAACUAUUACCCCUCCCAAAGCCAAAGAGCAGAUAUGGUGCAGCAAGCGCAAAGGAGAAGAGCAUCCUACUACAAAACCAGGGCCACAGAGAUACUUGAGAGAAACAGCCUAUGAAACAUGCAACAAAUGAAGAAGCAAACAACAUGAGGGCCAAGAAUGCCUUAGUAAUGGGGCCAAAACCUCAUUGUCACUAUUAGCCUGAGUAUAGGCAAGGACAAAGGAAGAAAGAAAGGAAAAAAUUAAAAGUAAAACAUUGUGCUUACCCAAAGAAAAACAGUUUAGAAAG